rnacentral:tRNA from 1 species
GGAGAGAUGGCAGAGUGGUCGAUUGUGGCGGUCUCGAAAACCGUUGAGCCGCAAGGCUCCGGGGGUUCGAAUCCCUCUCUCUCCGCCA